rnacentral:pre_miRNA from 1 species
AGUGGAAUAACUGGGUCAAAUGGUGGUUCCAUUCCAAUUUUCCUGAAUAAUCUCCAUGUUACUUUCCAGAGUGGUUGCACCAAUUUGCAGUCUCAGUAGCAAU